rnacentral:tRNA from 1 species
GUUUUAAUAGUUUAAAUAAAAACUUUGGUCUUGUAAACCAAGAAUGAAAAGAAUUCUUAAAACU